ACCGCCGUCGCGCGGUCGUAGGACAUGGCCGCCAGGAGGUAGCUGUCCGUGAUGCCCAGAGCCACGAAGAAGUACAUCUGGGCAAAGCACGCCUGGAAGGAUAUGGCCUGGCCCGGGUGGAGCAGGCCGGCCAGCAGCCUGGGGACCGUCACGGUGGUAAAGCAGACGUCCACGAGGCUCAGACAUGCCACAAAAUGUUGAAUGAAGAUAGGCAGCGUUGGCAAGGAGAGUUUCUGAAACUUCCACUGGAGGGCUCUGCGUGUUCUGGCAGGAAUGGUCCAAGGGCUAAUUUCUGAGGUCCCCAGAGGCUGACACGGCGGUGGAUAGAUGACUAGAUGAUCUCAUUUCUGGUUCACUCGUUUUCUCAUAUAUGGCCCUUCUUUGCUCUCCGGAGCAAAGGCCUGCACAGUGGUUCACCUGCUUCCUUUC
rnacentral:sRNA from 1 species